rnacentral:misc_RNA from 1 species
AAACGAAGAUUUUAAUCGGAUCAAGUUUUCUGACUAUGUUUUAGCGGGAUUUAUUUCUUUUGAGAGCCCUCCGUUUUAUCCGACUUCUUGGCCGUGUCUGGGAACUGAUAUCACGAGGACCUCAUGGACUCCGUCCAGGGAUCACAGCGUCCUUCAACUUUUUUAUUACGUGCUUCAUUCUGAUUAAUUACUGGACAAAACCUUUCAAGUGAUCUCUUAAAAUUCCGAAAAGAUAUAGUUACCAAGAGAACAUAAUCUUAAAGCACGUAAAUAUCACGGCCAAGUGUCUCGAUAAAAAAUGUCCGAAGCCGAAGCUGUCACACGGGAUUUCUUCGGAGGGCUUAUAAACGGAAGUAUUGAUUGGAGAUAACGACCCUGAAGAAAGCCAAUGGAAAGUCGUCGUGCACUCACCCGUAAUGCCAUCCACUUCUUGCAAGAAACAGAACGGGAUAAGUGCUAGAUCUAAAUCUUGUGAAGUUCUUAGACAUUCACUGGACAUCGGGUUCAUUUCUCAGGCAGCAUUGCUGCCGUAUACGCAAUCAUCCAGUGGAAGCGACGGAACCGUAGCAUGUUCUGGGGAUUCGAAGGAUAUUGUUUUCUUUACAAAUUAAAUCCUGUACUAAUAUACGCAUUAUCGACAGAAAAGAAGAAAGGGGAAUGAAAGAAAGUGUUUGCCUGUAGAAGGAUUUGAUUGGCUUGACUUUAAAUCAUUGUCCACGAGAAAAAAUCUAUGUCAACUGUAAGUGUAACUGACCAAUGAGUGACGACUCUAAGUCUUUCAAAUUGACUAAUACCCUCAGACCUUAGGAGGAUUAUACCACAAAGAAUCGCAGAAUCUCUAAAUUAUUUAAAGUGCAGCUUGAGUAAUUUAUUUGAAUGAAGUGGGACCCAAUUAUUCCAAAUGUAUGAUAUACGAGAAAGAGUAUGUAAUAAAUGCAAAGAGGGUCAUAUAUGAAUCUUUUAAACGACAUUAAGUUGAUGAAAUCUCUAUUUAAGACAGCGCGGGACUAGCUUAAGAAUGGAGAUAUUUAUUUCUGUGGUGACUCUAUAAAGGGUUUUGUGAGAUGGCAUACAGUUAGGUUGAUAUGGGGUCCAUGUACAUGUGUGGAGAAUUGCUUUCGAACGCUCUCACGACCACUGCGUACCGGGAUUUCUGGACGUUCGGCGACCAAGACCCAGGGUCCGGGGACAAAUCACCACGGUAGGUAGCUAAGUUACUCACCAUCUACAAUACCUGUGGUCGAUUACACCUCGCACUGAUGCACGUACAUGUAGACCAUUAUUUAAAGAAUCUGGUAUGGUGGUAGUGGUUUCAGAAUAAAAGGUCAUUGUGCUUUGAAUAUUUAUAAUAUUCGUUAUUUAAUGUUAUUUUAAAACGGACCCCCUUUCACAGCAAGAAAUGUUAACAAAUAUUUAACCAAUUUGACUAAUAUUACCGUCUCCGUUUCAUUGUAAGACGGUAAGGUUUGAAAUGUUUUACACUCAUCAAACUGUACAUAAAUCCCCCCGCCUUUGCGACCGGUAGAAAAUAUAUUAUGUGAAAAUUUUAAUUUGUUUCAUUUGUUGAAAUCCUGUUCAACGCAAUAUGAAUCAGUUGUAUUUUUAUAUCUACGUGCGAUUUUAAUAUUUUUACAAAACUUUAAAAAAAUCAGAGUCGAAAAUUGCAAUAAAUGAAGUUGAAAAUUUGAUUUUCCAUAGAUAUAAAUCCAAUGUCAUUUUAUAUUUACACGAUUUACAAGUAUGGGUAUUUUCUACUACGGAACUUUAAUUCGUUUUUGGAUAUUGUAACUGUGACAGAGCUUAUAUCUAAUACUGGUUUUCUCUACUUUUUAAAAUUUUGACAGUAUAGACAAACUAUCACAAAUUUCUGUUACUUUUUUCCU